rnacentral:rRNA from 1 species
GUAUAGCAUUGUACUGCGAAACUGCGAAUGGCUCAUUAAAUCAGUUAUCGUUUAUUUGAUAGUGCCUAUCCUACUUGGAUAACCGUGGUAAUUCUAGAGCUAAUACAUGCUAAAAAUCCCGACUUCGGAAGGGAUGCAUUUAUUGGAUACAGAACCAACGCCCUUCGGGGCUUUCUGGUGAAUCACAAUAACUUCGCGGAUCGCACGGCCUUGUGCCGGCGAUGGUUCAUUCAAAUUUCUGCCCUAUCAACUUUCGACGGCUGGGUCUUGGCCAGCCGUGGUGACAACGGGUAACGGAGGGUUAGGGCUCGACCCCGGAGAAGGAGCCUGAGAGACGGCUACUACAUCCAAGGAAGGCAGCAGGCGCGCAAAUUACCCAAUCCCGACUCGGGGAGGUAGUGACAAUAAAUACUGAUCCAGGGCUCUUUUGGGUCUUGGAAUUGGAAUGAGUACAAUUUAAAUCCCUUAACGAGGAACAAUUGGAGGGCAAGUCUGGUGCCAGCAGCCGCGGUAAUUCCAGCUCCAAUAGCGUAUAUUAAAGUUGUUGAGGUUAAAAAGCUCGUAGUUGAACCUUGGCCCCGGCUAGCUGGUCCGCCUCACCGCGAGUACUGGUUCGGCCGGGGCUUUCCCUCUGGGGAACCUCAUGCCCUUCACUGGGUGUGCUGGGGAACCAGGACUUUUACUGUGAACAAAUCAGAUCGCUCAAAGAAGGCCUUCGCUCGAAUGCAUUAGCAUGGAAUAAUAGAAUAGGACGUGCGGUUCUAUUUUGUUGGUUUCUAGGACCGCCGUAAUGAUUAAUAGGGACAGUCGGGGGCGUCCGUAUUCAAUUGUCAGAGGUGAAAUUCUUGGAUCUAUUGAAGACGAACUACUGCGAAAGCAUUCGCCAAGGAUGUUUUCAUUAAUCAGGAACGAAAGUUAGGGGAUCGAAGACGAUCAGAUACCGUCGUAGUCUUAACCAUAAACUAUGCCGAUUAGGGAUCGGACGAUGUUAUUUUUUGACUCGUUCGGCACCUUACGAUAAAUCAAAAUGUUGGGCUCCUGGGG